AUGGGUAGAACCAAUGUCAACCCUAUAUGGGGUAAUAUUUGGAGACUAUCCUGCCCAGCAAAAAUUAAAAUUUUCAUAUGGCGUAUACUGCAUGGUACCUUCCCAUGCCGAGUUACACUUGCUAACAGACAUAUAAAAGUUUCACCCAUUUGUCCUUCUUGCUCAAAUGGACCGGAGGAUACAAAACACGUCUUGUUUCAGUGUCAGAAGGCAAAAGAAGUUUGGGGAAAAUUAGGUCUACAAGAGGUGAUCCAUAAAGCCUGUAUUGUUGACCACGCGGGAGAGGCGGUGCUAUAAUUCUUACUCCUUAUGAAAGAUCAAGAAUUAAACAUUAAGGGCAUCCAGAAUGCACAUGAGUUAAUAGCUAUUACAGCUUGGUAUCUAUGGUGGGAUAGACGUCAACUGGUCCAUGAAGGAAAGUUACAGGAUGCAAAUCAAACUUCAAUGGGGGCUCGUGCUAUAACGGCAAACUAUGUCAAUGCAUACUCCCCUAAGGCAACUCAUAAAAUAGGGGGAUGGAGUAUCCCUCCUAGAGGAUUUGUCAAGCUGAAUUUUGAUGUCGUUUUCGAGCAUGAUCUCCUUUGA
rnacentral:rRNA from 1 species